AUACAUGCAAGUAGAACGCUGAGGUUUGGUGUUUACACUAGACUGAUGAGUUGCGAACGGGUGAGUAACGCGUAGGUAACCUGCCUCAUAGCGGGGGAUAACUAUUGGAAACGAUAGCUAAUACCGCAUAAGAGUAAUUAACACAUGUUAGUUAUUUAAAAGGAGCAAUUGCUUCACUGUGAGAUGGACCUGCGUUGUAUUAGCUAGUUGGUGAGGUAAAGGCUCACCAAGGCGAUGAUACAUAGCCGACCUGAGAGGGUGAUCGGCCACACUGGGACUGAGACACGGCCCAGACUCCUACGGGAGGCAGCAGUAGGGAAUCUUCGCAAUGGACGGAAGUCUGACCGAGCAACGCCGCGUGAGUGAAGAAGGUUUUCGGAUCGUAAAGCUCUGUUGUUAGAGAAGAACGUUGGUAGGAGUGGAAAAUCUACCAAGUGACGGUAACUAACCAGAAAGGGACGGCUAACUACGUGCCAGCAGCCGCGGUAAUACGUAGGUCCCGAGCGUUGUCCGGAUUUAUUGGGCGUAAAGCGAGCGCAGGCGGUUCUUUAAGUCUGAAGUUAAAGGCAGUGGCUUAACCAUUGUACGCUUUGGAAACUGGAGGACUUGAGUGCAGAAGGGGAGAGUGGAAUUCCAUGUGUAGCGGUGAAAUGCGUAGAUAUAUGGAGGAACACCGGUGGCGAAAGCGGCUCUCUGGUCUGUAACUGACGCUGAGGCUCGAAAGCGUGGGGAGCAAACAGGAUUAGAUACCCUGGUAGUCCACGCCGUAAACGAUGAGUGCUAGGUGUUAGGCCCUUUCCGGGGCUUAGUGCCGCAGCUAACGCAUUAAGCACUCCGCCUGGGGAGUACGACCGCAAGGUUGAAACUCAAAGGAAUUGACGGGGGCCCGCACAAGCGGUGGAGGCAUGUGGUUUAAUUCGAAGCAACGCGAAGAACCUUACCAGGUCUUGACAUCCUUCUGACCGGCCUAGAGAUAGGCUUUCUCUUCGGAGCAGAAGUGACAGGUGGUGCAUGGUUGUCGUCAGCUCGUGUCGUGAGAUGUUGGGUUAAGUCCCGCAACGAGCGCAACCCCUAUUGUUAGUUGCCAUCAUUAAGUUGGGCACUCUAGCGAGACUGCCGGUAAUAAACCGGAGGAAGGUGGGGAUGACGUCAAAUCAUCAUGCCCCUUAUGACCUGGGCUACACACGUGCUACAAUGGUUGGUACAACGAGUCGCAAGCCGGUGACGGCAAGCUAAUCUCUUAAAGCCAAUCUCAGUUCGGAUUGUAGGCUGCAACUCGCCUACAUGAAGUCGGAAUCGCUAGUAAUCGCGGAUCAGCACGCCGCGGUGAAUACGUUCCCGGGCCUUGUACACACCGCCCGUCACACCACGAGAGUUUGUAACACCCGAAGUCGGUGAGGUAACCUUUUAGGAGCCAGCCGCCUAAGGUGGGAUAGAUGAUUGGGGUGAAGUUCGUAACAAGGUAGCCGUAUCGGAAGGUGCGGCUGGAUCACCU
rnacentral:rRNA from 1 species